rnacentral:rRNA from 1 species
GCAUCGAUGAAGAACGCAGCGAAAUGCGAUAAGUAAUGUGAAUUGCAGAAUUCAGUGAAUCAUCGAAUCUUUGAACGCGCCUUGCACCCUUUGGCAUUCCGAAGGGUAUGCUCGUUUGAGUGUCAUUAUACUCUCACACUCUCAAAUUAGAGAGCGGUGGACUUGGAUGUUGCCUGGUACUUGCUGUCAGGCUCGUNUAAAAUGAGUUAGUACGACUCCUAGUUAAACAUAGUACGGCGUUAUAACUAAACCCUCGCUGUUUUCUGUCUGAUCAGGAGCUCUGUGCUUCCAACCCGUCNUUCG